rnacentral:rRNA from 1 species
UACGUAGGGUGCAAGCGUUAAUCGGAAUGACUGGGCGUAAAGGGUGUGUAGGCGGUUUGUUAAGUCUGAUGUGAAAUCCCCGAGCUUAACUUGGGAACUGCGUUGGAUACUGGCAAACUAGAGUACGUAAGAGGGGGGUAGAAUUCCACGUGUAGCAGUGAAAUGCGUAGAGAUGUGGAGGAAUACCGAUGGCGAAGGCAGCCCCCUGGGACGAUACUGACGCUGAGGCACGAAAGCGUGGGGAGCAAACAGG